AGUAUUCUUUCUUGACUUAUUAGAUGCAUCCAUUGUAGUUGAGCUAAUAUUAUGGUGUCUACCAGAAUUGAUUCCCUCUAAUUUUUAUUUAUUAUUAAAUCACAUUUUCUUUCUUUUCCUUUCUUAAUCAGUUGUUGCAUUUGCCUUUUCUAUUUUGUGCCAGGUGACAUGGGUACUUUUUGUUACUGGGUUCAGGUCACACAAUCAGGGUUCUUCCCUAAAGCCUCAUGUCAUAGGAAACCUUUUACAUGACUGGUGGUUGGAAUACAGUUGAAUCCUCAGUUUAUGGGCAUUGAUCUCAGAUGAGUGUGGCAGGAGCCAGAAAAGCUGGUCAAAGUCAAUAUGGGUGGUUGAAGGAAGCAUUGGAUAGAUUAGUAGAGCAACUAACGUCGCAACGACAACAACUUGAUGAGGAAUAACUGUUAAAUCAUUCUAUGAAGCUAAUCAAGAAAAUCUGAAUUGUAAAUAAAAUUUUGUUGAAGACAAAGAGAUUGAAUUUAGGGCGGAUAAACUUGAGCUCGAACUAGUUGGGAUGGAAGCAAACAAGAAACUAUGACAACAUUGAAGAUUUUGGGCUAUAGGAAAGAACAAAGAUGUUUGCUAUUUUGUUUAUUGUUUCACUCUUUUGGGAUUGGAAUCCUGAAACUUACUUAGAAGAUUCUGUGGUAGUGGGUAAGCAGGAAUUGUAAUGUCGACAGUUUUUGUUAAUAAAGAAGUGCAAUUUGAUUUGGGGAA